rnacentral:rRNA from 2 species
AGUGAAGCGGGAUGAGCUCAAAUUUGAAAUCUGGCUGGUUUACUAGUCCGAGUUGUAAUUUAAAGAAGCGUUUUCGGUGGCAGCCUGGGUAUAAAUCCUUUGGAAUAGGGUAUCAUAGAGGGUGAGAAUCCCGUCUUUGACCUAGUGCAUGCUACUAUGUGAUACGUUUUCAAAGAGUCGAGUUGUUUGGGAAUGCAGCUCAAAAUGGGUGGUAAAUUUCAUCUAAAGCUAAAUAUUGGCGAGAGACCGAUAGCGAACAAGUACCGUGAGGGAAAGAUGAAAAGAACUUUGAAAAGAGAGUUAAACAGUGCGUGAAAUUGUUGAAAGGGAAACGUUUGACACCAGUCAUGUGGGUGGAAAAUCAGUCUUUUGCAUUGGGGAGUUGUAAGGGUUCGGACCGCAAGGCCGGCUUUUGCUUCAUCUUUGGUGUAAGUGAUGCACUUUUUCAUCUACAGGUCAACAUCAGUUUCUUUUGCUGGACAAAACUCCGAGAGAAGGUAGCAGCUUAGGCUGUGUUAUAGCUCUGGAGCGAUACAGUGAAGGGGACUGAGGUUUUCGCAGCGUGUGCUCUCGGGCAAGGCUGGAUGGGUGCUAUGGGAUCGUUCGGGGUACAAUGCCUGGCAUUUUGCUUCGUGUCUUUUCUAUACUCGCUCAACUCAGCUCUUCCACGCUUAGGAUGUUGACUUAAUGGUUUUAAACGACC